rnacentral:rRNA from 1 species
GACGAACGCUGGCGGCGUGCCUAAUACAUGCAAGUAGAACGCUGAAGGAGGAGCUUGCUUCUCUGGAUGAGUUGCGAACGGGUGAGUAACGCGUAGGUAACCUGCCUGGUAGCGGGGGAUAACUAUUGGAAACGAUAGCUAAUACCGCAUAAGAGUAGAUGUUGCAUGACAUUUGCUUAAGAGGUGCAAUUGCAUCACUACCAGAUGGACCUGCGUUGUAUUAGCUAGUUGGUGAGGUAACGGCUCACCAAGGCGACGAUACAUAGCCGACCUGAGAGGGGGAUCGGCCACACUGGGACUGAGACACGGCCCAGACUCCUACGGGAGGCAGCAGUAGGGAAUCUUCGGCAAUGGACGGAAGUCUGACCGAGCAACGCCGCGUGAGUGAAGAAGGUUUUCGGAUCGUAAAGCUCUGUUGUAAGAGAAGAACGAGUGUGAGAGUGGAAAGUUCACACUGUGACGGUAUCUUACCAGAAAGGGACGGCUAACUACGUG